CCUACGGGAGGCAGCAGUGGGGAAUAUUGGGCAAUGGGCGCAAGCCUGACCCAGCAACGCCGCGUGAAGGAAGAAGGCUUUCGGGUUGUAAACUUCUUUUAAGAGAGAAGAGCAGAAGACGGUACCUCUUGAAUAAGCCACGGCUAACUACGUGCCAGCAGCCGCGGUAAUACGUAGGUGGCAAGCGUUGUCCGUAUUUACGGGGUGUAAAGGGCGUGCAGCGGGGAAGACACGUCAGAUGGGAAUGCCCGCGGCUAAACAGCGGAACUGCAUUGAAAACUGUUUUUCUUGAUGACGGGAGAGGACAUCGGAAUUCCUGGGGUGGCGGGGAAAUGCGUAAAAAUAAGGAAGAACACCAUUGGCGAAGGCG
rnacentral:rRNA from 1 species